rnacentral:hammerhead_ribozyme from 1 species
AUCCAGCUGACGAGUCCCAAAUAGGACGAAAAAGGCGUCUUGGAU